UACGAAGGGUGCAAGCGUUACUCGGAAUUACUGGGCGUAGAGCGUGCGUAGGUGGUUUGUUAAGUCUGUUGUGAAAGCCCCGGGCUCAACCUGGGAAUGGCAAUGGAUACUGGCAAGCUAGAGUGCGGUAGAGGGUAGUGGAAUUCCCGGUGUAGCGGUGAAAUGCGUAGAGAUCGGGAGGAACACCAGUGGCGAAGGCGGCUACCUGGACCAGCACUGACACUGAGAGACGAAAGCUAGGGGAGCGAAUGGG
rnacentral:rRNA from 1 species